ensembl:lncRNA
CUCUAAGAAAAAAAAGCACACAUGCUCUGUGAUCACCAGCUAAUGCAUAGCCCAGCCUUGGACGGUGGGUGUUACAGUUCUCUGUUCUAAGACAUUCUUUUUAACACCGACAUCUUGGCCCCGAAGAUAAAUGUUGGCUCACUCGUUCAGAAUAAGAAAUGGGUUAUGCUGGUUUGGAAACUCAGAACGCAGUGGAAUUUUUCUUUUAUUCAGAUUUUAUUACUUACCAAUGGCAUGCGAGGGGAGGAAGAGGUCUGCUUCAAAGCAAAAACAAGUUUCCUACAAGGUCAUCUCAAUGGCCUUCUUGUGGACACGUGGACACACCAGCGAAUGGAAGAGAAGUAGGUCCGCUUAGGUUUCUCCCUGUUCGGAAAACAAAACAGUUUCCUCUUCAGCUUGCUAUUUUAUAAACAAUUUGGCACAAUGAUACUGCCUUCCGUUUUCAUUUGACAGCGCGAGGUCAAAUCGAAAAGCUACAAGGAAGUCUUCAGAGGGUGACGCUGGAGGAGGUUCAGAGUUCAAGGCUCGCCCACCGGGAGGGGAGUGGACGAGGGGGACAGGGAAAGCCUUGCUGACCACAGACCUUGAGCACCGGGCAGCACAGGCCCUGGAAAAGCAGAGGGGGGGUCAUAUGGAGUCAAGCUCCUCUUUGACAAAGACAGGAGAUCACUUGUCCUCGAAGGAUACGGAAAGCGGCCGCCCCCGGCUGGGUGACUGGGGAGACGUUUCUGAAAGCAGUCUUCGGGUAUCCCCUACCUGCCCGAGAAGCUGUGCUUCUGAGCCGCUUUGGAUUUUGAAACGAGGCUGAAGGGGUACGGAGAGCCGGAAGCCUGCGAACACCUCCCUUGCCAAAGUCAUUUCUGUGGCAGAGCCUCCGCUCCGCUCAUACCUGUGUCCAGAUGGACACUUUGACCUUGGCCGCGGCCACUCGGGUCCUCUUCUGUCCAUGCCGGGCCUGGGUUUGGCCGGACUGCCGUGGAGGGGCAGGAGGGAUGGCCAUCUGGUGUGGGAGGCGUUGCCUGACAGGUGGCUCAGCGGCGGGAGAACUUACCGGGCCGAAACGAAUCCGAGGAGAGGCUGGCGGCCGGGGAUGACGAGGCUCACAGAAACCUCCCAGGCCAGCUCAGGCGGUGACGUGGAGAGGCCAGCAAGCAGCGAGGAACUGGGUCACCCUUACCACUGCUGCCGUGACGUGGCCCUGAGUGAGGUCCCUGGACCCCAAGCCUGCCAGCGACAGGAGAGCCAGCCCCAAGCAUCCAUAAAACACCACGGCGGUAGGAGGAUGCUGAGCUCCUGA